CCUCCUCUUAUUGCACGCCCUCGCUGCCAAGCCUCAAAACCCUUUCUCUCUUAACAUCGGUUUCGUUGUUUUCUUUCUCUCGCUCUAACAGUUACUCGCUCUCUCAACUUAGUUUCUAUCUCUAAUGGAAGACGACGAUGAAUUUGGAGAUCUUUACACGGACGUCUUGCAGCCUUUCUCGUCAUCUUCAUCGGCUGCUCCGCAGCCCCAACAGCCUUCUCCUGCACCUUCAUCGAUACACCGUCCGAUCGAUCUCAACCUUCACAACGACAGCAACGACCUCGAGGACGAUGAGAUCCUAUACGGAGCAUCCAGUCGCAACCAUCGUGCUCCUUCUGAUCAAGCCCUAUCAAUUUCGGUUGCAGCUAAUAAUAAUUCAGCUGGUGGACCUAGGGUUUUGAGCUCUCAUGAUGUGAAAUUACUGAAUAGUGCUUCGAAUACUGUUGAUUGUUCUGAUUUUCAAUCUGAUAAGCAGGAGAAAGAGGUUACUUUUGAUAUCGAGGAGGAUACUACUGGAAUUGUUGAAGGUUCAGGUCCGAUGAUUCCGGGACUCAGUGUGGAUGCCGAGGAUUCGAAGAGGAAUGAAGCCGACCUUGGCGGAGGCGGCGGCGGGCCUGGUGGUGGCGGUGGAGGGGAUGAAGAUUGGGAGGAAGAUAGUGAUAGCGAAGAUGAUUUACAAAUAGUGUUGAAUGAUAACAAUCAUGGGCCUAUGGGGAUGGAACGAGGAAUGAUGGGUGACGCUGAUGACGACGAUGACGACGAAGAUGGGGAUCCACUCGUGAUUGUGGCUGAUGGGGACCCAAACCAGCCGAUGGAGGAACAAGAUUGGGGUGUGGGAGAGGAUGCUGCGGCAACAGUAGGGGCAGAAGGGGAGAGGAAAGAGGGCAGCGAAGCAGCUGGGAAAGGAAGUGCAGUAGCAGGGCCGAAGGUUGGGUAUAGCAACCAUGGGUAUCAUCAUCCGUUUCAUUCUCAGUUCAAGUAUGUGAGACCUGGUGCGGCGCCGAUGCCUGGAGCUACUACCAUUGGUCCUGGAGGAGUCCCAGGUCAAAUUCGUCCUCCUAUCAACAUGGCUCCUAUAGCUGGGCGUGGUAGGGGUGAUUGGCGACCUGUAGGAAUUAAAAGUGCUCCUUCAAUGCAAAAGGGUCACCAUCCUGGUUUUGGAAUGCCUGUUUGGGGCAAUAAUAUGGCAGGGCGGGGCUUUGGUGGUGGACUAGAGUUCACCCUUCCUUCACACAAGACUGUCUUUGAUGUGGAUAUUGAUAGCUUUGAGGAAAAGCCAUGGAAAUAUCCUGGUGUGGAUAUUUCGGAUUUUUUCAACUUUGGUUUGAAUGAGGAGAGCUGGAAAGACUAUUGCAAACAGCUGGAACAACACCGGCUGGAGACUACUAUGCAAAGCAAAAUUCGUGUAUAUGAGAGUGGGCGGGCGGAACAGGAAUAUGAUCCAGAUAUGCCACCAGAAUUAGCAGCAGCAGCUGGCAUUCAUGAUAUUCCAGUUGACAAUUCAAGUCUUGGCAAGUCAGAGGUUGGACAAAGUGACAUAAUGAAAGGACCUUCUCGUGUGCGGCCACCACUACCAACUGGACGGGCAAUACAAGUUGAAGGAGGUUAUGGUGAACGUCUUCCUUCUAUUGAUACUCGACCACCUCGAAUUCGUGAUUCUGAUGCAAUCAUUGAGAUCGUCUUGCAGGACUCUCUUGAUGAUGACUCCUCCACAGGACAUGGUGGUUUGGAUGUAGCAAACAAUGAUGCACCAAGAGAUGAUCCCAGAGGAACCCAUGUACCUGAAGAUGGCACGGCACAGAUGGAAACAGAAUAUUAUGAUGAUUUCCCACAGGGUUAUGAUAAUCGAAAGGGUGGGAGGAGAGCACCAUUUGUUGAUUCUGGUCGCGCUAAUGUACCUGAGGGAGAUGGGAUUCUGUCUUUCCGUCCUGAAGCACCAUCUCAAUAUCGUCCUAGUUCUAGGGGGUCACCUAUGCUAUCUGGUGGGGAUAUUGAGCCCUCUCAUGAGGAAAGGCGUGUACAGGGAAGAACACGUGACAGAUCCCCUCAUUUUACGCCCAAUCAGAAUAAAAGGGACAAAAGAUAUCUUGAUAAUGCUGAGGAAGAAUCGAAUGAAAGCAUGGAUGGUAAAAAUAGUCCAUUGGUAGCAUCUCCUGCUGCAGUUAUGGAUGGAACAGGACUGAGUAUAGAGGAGGACAAAGAUGUUACUGUACAUGAUGAGCGUGUAUUAGCUGAAGGAAGUUCUGGAAUGGAAAAGGGUGAGAUGACUGAGAAUGAAGUAACUACAAAUGAUAGUACUAAAGAUGAGAAUGUACACCGUUCCACAAAGAAACAAAAAUUAAGUUCUCGUGUUGAACUGUCUGCAACACAAGAACUUGAUGAUGGAGGGGACUCGAAGGCUGCAAGGAGCAGUGAAAACAGCAAAGCAAGAUCAGGAAGCAGUAAAGAUUGUCAGAAAUGGCAGGAUGGUGUUGAGGAGGAAGUUGUUCAAGGUGGGCGUGCUAGGCGCACGGGGAGCGUCAAGGGGCACCUUGGUGAAAAUGAACAGAAUUUCCGAAGAAAAGAACGUGAUGCCAGACAAGAGAUGGAAAGAAAUCACGUGGUGAUAAAAGGUAGGGAGGGUUCUUAUCCUCAGAGAGAUUUUGACCCUGGCUUAGUGCAUCAUUUGCAUAUGAGGAGUGAGGGUUAUGAUAGGCGAAAGGAGCGAGAAAAUCUUGAUGGAGCUUGGCAACGAAGAGAGGAGGAUCCUCACAGCAGGAAAAGUAGAACCGAAGACACAAGGAAGAGAGAACGGGGAGAUGAAAUGGGAUCCAGGCACAGAAGUAAGGUACGAGAAAGUGAAAGGACUGACAAAGAGGAACAUCUUCAUUCAAGAAAGCAGUUGGACAAUGGCAGCUACAGGAUGCAUUAUGAUAAGGAUAGCAGCUCACAGCAUAGGGAAAGAAAGGAAAAUUUGAAGGGUAGGUAUGACAUGGUGGAUGAUUACCAUAGCAAAAGGAGAAAAGAUGAGGAAUAUUUGAGGAGGGAGCACAAUGACAAGGAGGAAAUCUUACUUGCCCACAGAGAAACCACAAGUCGUCGAAGGCGAGAAAGGGAUGAUGUUUUAGAUCCCCGGAAGAGAGAGGAUCAGCAAAGAAUUAGAGACAAUCUUGAUGAUUAUCACUCUGUUAGGCAAAAAGAUGAGGUCUGGCUCCAGAGGGACAGGGGUGAAAGGCCAAGGGAGAGGGAGGAGUUGUAUAGGCUAAAACAAUCCCAUGAAGAAAGUUUAUCCAAGAGGGAUAAAGAAGAUGCACGAGGUUCUAUGCGGACUGGACGUGGUGUAGAUGAUAAAUCAUGGAUUGGCCAUGCUAGGAUGAAGGAUGAAUACAGGGUUUCUGACAAAGAAUACCAACUAAAAGAUUCUGUCCGGAACAGUGAACAACAGAAGAGAAGGGAUAGAAUGGAGGAUGAAAAUUACUCGCAUCAUAGGAGACGUGAUGAUGUUUAUGCACGAGGUAAUCAACUUAGCACUGAGGAGAGAAGAUCUAGGCAAGAAAGGUCUAGCAAUCGUAUUGAUCGUGCUGUUGAUACUCCUGAUAAUCAAAGGAUGCAUGACAGAAAGCAUAAAGAUAACACAAGGAAGAAUAAAGAAUCAGAGGGUGGAGAUCACAACACAUUGGGUUCUUCCAGAAGAAAUCAAGAUGAUCACACCGAUGAGAUGGGUCUGAAGGGUGCCACUGGGCAAGGAAAUGCUGAAAAUGAGAUGCAACAUAACUCCUCCAAAAGACACAAGGAAGAAGCAUCCUCAGAUGAUGAACAGCAAGAUUCAAGGAGAGGACGCUCAAAGUUAGAACGUUGGACAAGCCAUAAGGAGCGAGAUUUUAGCAUAAGCAAUAAGCCAUCAGCCUCCAUGAAGUUUAAAGAGAUAGAAAGGAAUAACAAUAUCGUAACUUCUGAAGCCAGCAAACUUCCUGAUGUUCUCAAGAGAGUUGAGAAGUAUCCUUUGACAGAAGAUAAAGAGAUUGGUGAUGUGGAGAAUAAGGAUACUGAUACAAAACCAUUGGAGGAUCGGCACCUAGACACAGUAGAGAAGUUGAAGAAACGAAGUGAGCGAUUCAAGCUUCCAAUGCCUAGCGAAAAGGACCCCUUGACAAUAAAGAAAUUGGAGAAUGAAGCGUUGCCUUCUGUCAAAACCGACGCCCCUGUGGACUCAGAGGUCAAGCCAGAGCGGCCAGCUCGGAAACGAAGGUGGAUUAGUAACUAAAAAUUAAAAUCAGCAAUCUCUAUUUAAGGUGCAUUGCUUUUGUCAGCGAGGAAAUCCGUGCUUGGCCCAAUCCAAUUCUUUUGAAGAUCAUGCCAUUUUUGGAUGAUCAUAAUAUCUGUAGGCUUGCAGGAAUGGCCAUGUACCUCAGCUGUAGUUAUUAUAUAAUAUUGUAACCCAUACUUAUUUAAAUGCUGUGUACAUACUAACAGAUGUAACAUUGAACUUGCCAUCUUGUGGUGGCUCAGAAUUGCUUUUUAGUGUCGAUUCAAAUUUGUACUAAGAUUGACAUGUGAAGGGAGCGGAGGACUAGAAUUGCAAGACCUGUCGAAUGGCCGUAGGUGGAAACAGAAUCUGGAUCGCAUGAAGACGCAUGAAGAUGCCAGGGUCUGCAAGUUGAGAUGAAAUUGAGGUUGAAAGGAAAGGGAGAAACAGAAAAAUUUUCUGUAUCUGUAGAUGAGGACUAGUGAGUCUAUAUAGUAUCUGUAUGUCCCUUUUUUCCGCAUAGUUUUUAUUUGAGCAAGAAGUUGGAAACACACGUAGAAGAUCCUGUAUUUCAUGAAUGAGUUACAGUCAGCGAUUGAUUAAAAAUGAAAAAUUUUUAACUGUCA